CGACUGAUCUGAAUCUUUUCUUCAAAUCUCUGAAACUUUUUCAAAGAUUGAAGAUGGACUUCUAGAGAAGAUGAAAAGAUGAAAGAAAGAUAAAGAAGAAAAUAAAUUUUUUCUAAUUUAUUUUCUUUUCCCAAACCCUUAGAACCAAAAAUCUGAAAUUUAGAUUUUUGGGCACAUCCCAAAAAAAAGGACCCUCCUCUUUAUUUUUCACAUCAUGAACCAUGUCCAAACUUCUACCACAUGAAGAGCUCUCUUCUA
rnacentral:lncRNA from 1 species